rnacentral:rRNA from 1 species
GACGAACGCUGGCGGCGUGCUUAACACAUGCAAGUCGAACGGAAAGGCCCUGCUUUUGUGGGGUGCUCGAGUGGCGAACGGGUGAGUAACACGUGAGUAACCUGCCCUUGACUUUGGGAUAACUUCAGGAAACUGGGGCUAAUACCGGAUAGGAGCUCCUGCUGCAUGGUGGGGGUUGGAAAGUUUCGGCGGUUGGGGAUGGACUCGCGGCUUAUCAGCUUGUUGGUGGGGUAGUGGCUUACCAAGGCUUUGACGGGUAGCCGGCCUUAGAGGGUGACCGGCCACAUUGGGACUGAGCUACGGCCCAAACUCCUACGGGAGGCAGCAGUGGGGAAUAAUGCACAAAGGGCGGAAGCCUGAUGCAGCAACGCAGCGUGCGGGAUGACGGCCUUCCGGUUGUAAACCGCUUUCGCCUGUGACGAAGCGUGAGUGACGGUAAUGGGUAAAGAAGCACCGGCUAACUACGUG